CAAUAUAUAAAGCAGACAGGAAUCGGGCUGCUUUUAGACUUGCAAAAAAACGUUGGUGCUGAAAUGAUGGAUUGUGAGCGUUUCCAGGCAGAGACGGAGAGUUAUGCCCACAGAAGCCCCAGCUCUGAUCCAAGGGAGAGCCAGCCAACCUGCUUUGGUGUAGGGUGCAAAAGUGGCACAGUGAGUUUCUCAGAACCUGGAAGAAGGCUGAAGAAAUCCUAGAGGACACCCAGGACAGAUGCCACCUUCUCCUAAGAAGGGCUGCCACCAUCAUCCUACUCAGCCUUUCCUGCUGCUUGGAAAGGAGUCGGAACCACAGCAGCUGACUUGGACUCAGAUAUGGGAGCCAUGUGCAGAGCCUGGCAGAAACGGACCACCAGCCUUGCGCUGCUCCCCUCUGCACUGUUACGUGUGAGGGAAAUAAACGUCAAUCUGACUUAAAAACCA